rnacentral:rRNA from 1 species
UACAGAGGUCCCGAGCGUUGUUCGGAUUCAUUGGGCGUAAAGGGUGCGUAGGCGGUCUGCUAAGUUUGAUGUGAAAUCCCGGGGCUCAACCCUGGAAUGGCAUUGAAUACUGGCGGACUAGAGUACCGGAGAGGAAACUGGAAUUUACGGUGUAGCAGUGAAAUGCGUAGAUAUCGUAAGGAAGACCAGUGGCGAAGGCGAGUUUCUGGACAGUUACUGACGCUGAGGCACGAAGGCCAGGGGAGCAAACGGG